rnacentral:rRNA from 1 species
GACGAACGCUGGCGGCGUGCUUAACACAUGCAAGUCGAACGGAAAGGCCCUGCUUUUGUGGGGUGCUCGAGUGGCGAACGGGUGAGUAACACGUGAGUAACCUGCCCUUGACUUUGGGAUAACUUCAGGAAACUGGGGCUAAUACCGGAUUGGAGCUCCUGCUGCAUGGUGGGGGUUGGAAAGUUUCGGCGGUUGGGGAUGGACUCGCGGCUUAUCAGCUUGUUGGUGGGGUAGUGGCUUACCAAGGCUUUGACGGGUAGCCGGCCUGAGAGGGUGACCGGCCACAUUGGGACUGAGAUACGGCCCAGACUCCUACGGGAGGCAGCAGUGGGGAAUAUUGCACAAUGGGCGGAAGCCUGAUGCAGCAACGCCGCGUGCGGGAUGACGGCCUUCGGGUUGUAAACCGCUUUCGCCUGUGACGAAGCGUGAGUGACGGUAAUGGGUAAAGAAGCACCGGCUAACUACGUG